rnacentral:rRNA from 1 species
AAUAGAUACCCCGGUAGUCCACCCCGUAAACGUUGGGAACUAGUUGUGGGGUCCUUUCCACGGAUUCCGUGACGCAGCUAACGCAUUAAGUUCCCCGCCUGGGGAGUACGGCCGCAAGGCUAAAACUCAAAGGAAUUGACGGGGACCCGCACAAGCGGCGGAGCAUGCGGAUUAAUUCGAUGCAACGCGAAGAACCUUACCAAGGCUUGACAUACACCAGAACACCCUAGAAAUAGGGGACUCUUUGGACACUGGUGAACAGGUGGUGCAUGGUUGUCGUCAGCUCGUGUCGUGAGAUGUUGGGUUAAGUCCCGCAACGAGCGCAACCCUCGUUCUAUGUUGCCAGCACGUAAUGGUGGGAACUCAUGGGAUACUGCCGGGGUCAACUCGGAGGAAGGUGGGGAUGACGUCAAAUCAUCAUGCCCUUAUGUCUUGGGCUUCACGCAUGCUACAAUGGCCGGUACAAAGGGCUGCAAUACCGUGAGGUGAGCGAAUCCCAAAAGCCGGUCCAGUUCGGAUUGAGGUCUGCAACUCGACCUCAUG